AUUGAACGCUGGCGGAAUGCUUUACACAUGCAAGUCGAACGGCAGCACGGACUUCGGUCUGGUGGCGAGUGGCGAACGGGUGAGUAACAUAACGGAACGUAUCCACUAAUGGGGGAGAACGAGACGAAAGAUUCGCUAAUACCGCAUACGCACUACGGGGGAAAGCUGGGGAGCUUCGGGCCUGGCGUUAAUGGAGCGGCCGAUAUCUGAUUAGCAAGUUGGUGAGGUAACGGCUCACCAAGGCGACGACCAGUAGCUGGUCUGAGAGGACGACCAGCGACACUGGAACUGAGACACGGUCCAGACUCCUACGGGAGGCAGCAGUGGGGAAUUAUGGACAAUGGGCGCAAGCCUGAUCCAGCCAUUCCGCGUGAGUGAAGAAGGCCUUCGGGUUGUAAAGCUCUUUCGCAAGGGAAGAAAACUUAGCCACUAACAUUGGUUGAGGUUGACGGUACCUUGAUAAGAAGCACCGGCUAACUACGUGCCAGCCGCCGCAGUAA
rnacentral:rRNA from 1 species